rnacentral:lncRNA from 1 species
UUGAUCCAACAUCAAGUGACCUUUUUCAUAAUUAAAAUCAAAAAACAAUAAAAAUACGAUUAGUAUUGUACACCACGAGCCUUAAGUGGUGAGGAAUGAGUAAGGAUAGAGCUCUCAUACCUUUACUCUGAUUAUUUUUAACACAAGAUGCUUGACUUGUUUGUCUAGAAUAUUCAUCUCCGUCCACAGACUUUAGUGCAAUCUAUCACAAAAAAUC